AAUCUGUGCUUUGUUAUAAUAAUGUGAUAAACCUGCAAAGAAUCGCAGUUUCCUGUUUCUACUUAUUUUGAAUCCAACAGCAGUUUUGUAUCUAAAUAAAAAUGGCAUCACCAACAAAAAGUGGAAUACCAUUAUCUGUGAUUAAUCCACAGUUCCUGCAUACAAACUCCACUAGCCAUAAGUGGCCAUUCAGUGCUGUAGCAGAACUGAUCGACAAUGCUUAUGACCCAGAUGUCAAUGCAAAGCAAUUGUGGAUCACUAAAACAGCAGUCAAAGGCCAGGACUGCCUCAUCUUCAUGGACAAUGGAAACGGAAUUGACUAUGAUAAGAUGCACAAAAUGCUCAGUUUUGGCUUCAGUGAUAAGCAAGCGGUCAGAGGCCAUGUUCCAAUUGGUCUUUAUGGGAACGGCUUUAAGUCAGGCUCCAUGCGCUUGGGGAAGGAUGCCAUCGUGUUCUCAAAGAAAGCCAACAUUAUGUGUGUGGGUCUUCUGUCACAAACAUACCUCAAGAAGACAGGAGUAACAACUGUCAUAGUGCCUAUUGUCAUGUUUACUAAGACAAGACAGAGUGUCAGUGCUACACCAGAGCAUGCAGAGAGUCUUAAUGAUAUCAUGACAUAUUCUUUGUUUAACACUGAGGAAGAACUGCUGUCUGAGUUCACUGUCAUUGAAAACUUAUGCACCAACUCAAGUGGAACGCGCAUCAUCAUCUGGAACCUACACAGAGGAUCUUCAGGAGAGUUAGAAUUUGAUUUCAAGAAGGAUCCCUAUGACAUCCGGAUCCCUGUUGAUGUGUACGAGAACACUAGGGCACAAACCAGACGGCAAGCAGGGAGUGGCAUUUCAGUGCCUAAGAGUGAAUAUUCACUGCGGGCAUACUGUAGUAUUCUCUACCUGAAGCCAAGAAUGCAGAUUAUCAUCCAAGGGCAGAAAGUGGAAACUCAGUUUGUCACAAAGAUUCUAGCAAAUGUCUUCACAGACAAAUACAAACCUGCUGGUCUUAAAAAGGGAAUAACAAUCACAUUUGGCUACAACACAAAGAGCAAAGAUCACUACGGAUUGAUGAUGUACAACAAAAACCGCCUCAUCAAAGCCUAUGAGCGUGUUGCCUGCCAGCGUAAGGCUAAUGGCACAGGAGAAGGAGUUAUCGGGGUAUUAGAGUGUAACCACCUCACACCAAUUCACAACAAGCAGGACUUUGAUAAUAAUGAAGAAUACAGAAAAACGAUGAUAAGUGUAGGUAUGAAGCUUGAGCAAUAUUGGAAGGAAGUUCACUAUAGACAUAAGACACGCAGCGAUGAACCGUUUGAGGAUACUGUAUCAACUCCUGAUCAAACCUGGGUUCAGUGUGAUGAUUGUUUGAAGUGGCGAAAACUUCCGGAUUGUAUGUAUGGAAAAAAGACCCCCAAAAAUUGGUUCUGCCACAUGAACGCUGACCCUCAAUUCAGGAGUUGUACAGAUGAAGAAGAGCUUGAGGAUUCUGAUGAUGAACAACCCAAAUGCUGGAAAACCUACAAAAAACAAGCCCAGUGACACCCAGACCUUCUGAUACUUCAGCUGUCAUUCUGGACACAUCUCGCUCUACUACUCCUAAAAGGAAAAACAAAGCCUUGGACAUAAAUCAAGAGAAAUCUGAGAAAAAACUUAGAUCAAACUGUUUUGACAAAAACAUACCAGAUUCUCCUAACAUGAUCAGUCCUGCUAAUGAUGCUAAUACUGCUGACUGUAAAGACCUUAAAACAGCAAUGGAUGAUGUGAUUUUCGUGAGCACGAGUGAGGAAAAGAGCAUUCAAUUUACAAAAUCCAGCUCUGGGGACCAGCAGAUUGGCAAAGGGCAGUACCUGCAAGUCAUGGAGGCAAUGAAGCAGCUCGAAGAUAAGCUACGAGAGCUAAAAAAAGUGCUGAAAAUGGAGGCGAGUGUC